ensembl:snoRNA U3 Small nucleolar RNA U3
AAAACUCUACUUUCAGGAAUCAUUUCUAUAGUUUGUUCCAAGUUACUGGAAACCAUAAGGAGGAAAUGAGGGGUUCCCUUCUGAGUGUGAAACUUGCUCUUGGUUUUGCUUCUGCAACUACCAUUUGCCUUUGAUAAUCGUCCUUCUCUUCUUCUGGGAGAGUGAGAGGGAGAGGAUGCUGCCUGAGUGCU